rnacentral:rRNA from 1 species
CGUAGGGUCCGAGCGCUGUCCGGAAUUAUUGGGCGUAAAGGGCUCGUAGGCGGUUCGUCGCGUCGGGAGUGAAAACUCGGAGCUCAACUCCGAGCCUGCUUCCGAUACGGGCAGACUAGAGGUAGGCAGGGGAGAGCGGAACUCCUGGUGUAGCGGUGGAAUGCGCAGAUAUCAGGAAGAACACCGGUGGCGAAGGCGGCUCUCUGGGCCUUACCUGACGCUGAGGAGCGUAAGCGUGAGUAGCGAACAGGAUUAGAUACCCUGGUAGUCCACGCCGUAAACGUUGGGCGCUAGGUGUGGGGGACAUUCCACGUCCUCCGUGCCGCAGCUAACGCAUUAAGCGCCCCGCCUGGGGAGUACGGCCGCAAGGCUA